rnacentral:tmRNA from 1 species
GGGGCUGAUUUUGGAUUUGACGGAAUAUCUUAAGUUUAAAGUGCAUGUCGAGGGGAGAUAGGCCUCGAAAAAAAAUCUCGAAAAAUAAUUGCAAAUUACAAUUACAAUGAAUCUGCUGCGCUAGCAGCUUAACCAAACUAAACCAUUGGAGAUUCCCUUUCCGAACUAAAAAUUACUCUUAAUUUUAGGUUCGUAUAGUGUAUAAUAUAUUAAGAUACACUGAAGUAUAAAAUACAAAGAAAGGUUAUAAAAUAAUAAGAGUGCUCGUUAUAAGUGCGCUUUUACACAUAACGAAAAAUAAAAAUUAAAAGCUAGUUGAAUUAAAAAUUGAUCUUAAUUUAUUUUCAAUGAAACUCAUAUAAGAUCUAAACAUGUAGUAACUAUAAGCUGUAAGAAGUUCUGGACGCGGGUUCGAAUCCCGCCAGCUCCACC